UACGGAGGAUCCGAGCGUUAUCCGGAUUUAUUGGGUUUAAAGGGUGCGUAGGCGGCUUCAUAAGUCAGGGGUGAAAUUCGGCAGCUCAACUGUCGGCGUGCCUUUGAUACUGUGGGGCUUGAAUUUGGUCGAAGGAGGCGGAAUGGGACAAGUAGCGGUGAAAUGCAUAGAUAUGUCCCGGAACCCCAAUUGCGAAGGCAGCUUUCUAGGCCAACAUUGACGCUGAUGCACGAAAGCGUGGGGAUCGAACAGG
rnacentral:rRNA from 1 species